UUAGAGAGAGAGAGAGGGAAAGGCAGAGGGAGAGGAUCUUCAAGCAGACUCCCUGCUGAGUGCGGAGCCCAUUGUGGGCGGGCUCUCAGAACCCAUGAGAUCAUGACCUGAGCCAAAACCAAGAGUCUGACACUUAACCGACUGAGCCACCCAGGCACCCCUGGACUUCGACAGUAGUCGGUGCACAUCCUCCUGUGCACCAAGUACUGCUCCAAGGAGAGAGCAAAAAGCAAACAGGCCCUGUCUUCAAUUGAGCCUAAAUCCUUGCAAAGGAAAACAAAGUUUAAAAAAUAAAAACUUACGCUUUGAAAAAUGUUAGCUAUUCAGAAAAACCAAAAGAAUAGUGCAGUGACCACCUAUAAACUACCUCGAUUCUGAUUUCAGUAAUCUAAAGCCUUAUUUCCAUCCUGUCACUUUCUUCUACAUGGAAGUUCAAUGACUCCUCUAGCCUAUAGCAUAAAUGUAAAUUCGCAGCCUGUUACUCUAGUUUCUUUAAAGUUCAAGUUCACCCUGUCUUAAUGAUCUAGGAGCUGCCAGCCUUUGAGCACUAACUACUACGUUUUAGAAUGUUUAGCAGCAUCCCUGACCUUAGCUGCUAGAUACUAGCUGCUAGAUACAAUUUUGCCUAGUUGACUACCAUAACCAUAGACUUAGCACUUAGGAAAUAGUCUUCAGUGGAUCUCAAUGUCGUGCUUGUUCUGCAGCCGUCACUGUGCCCAUUCAUAGAAAGCUAUGCCUAUUAUACUGCCCUCUUUUUGCAAGGGGAAGAUUUGUUUUAAAUGACUAUUUAAUACUCACUUAGUAGAGCAGUGGGCAGCAAUAUUCCAGUUUUUGUUCAGCAAAAUUUUCUGAUAUUCUAGGGAGGACAUUCUGGUUGACAUUUUAAAAGGUAAGUUUUCUGCAAAUAGAAGCAUGAUUAUUAGCCUGUUAAUAUGAUUGUCUCAUAUAGGUUCUGGCUUCUCACUGUAGCUGUUUGUUAUAACCAACACACUUCAGGAAUGGCAAAUAAUGAGCUGUGACUGUUGUAUUAUUUUUUUUUAAAGACUUUAUUUAUUUGACAGAGAGAUACACAGCGAGAGAGGGAACACAAGCAGGGGGAGUGGGAGAGGGAGAAGCAGGCCUCCCGCCAAGCACCGCGGGGCUCAAUCCCAGGACUCUGGGACCAUGACCUGAGCCGAAGGCAGACGCCUAACCAUCUGAGCCACCCAGGGAGAAGAUGAAGCUCUUAGGGGUAUUUAGCCAAAGAGGGAAAAGAGAGGAGGAAAAAUUGUGUUUGUGCUUAAUGAAAGAUCCUGAAUUGCUCAUCUAGGCUAGAGUGCCCAGAACACCCCUUGGUAAAAAAUAGACACUUCAUGCAUGUUUCUUAAAGAAGUGAAUUAAUAAACAUACGAAUGAAUAUGAUCCAAGAGAUUAAAAUAUCAGAAGCAUGGGGUGAAGUCUUGAUUCAGGAGAAUGUGAGAAGCCACAUAAAUGAGCCACGUUCUGCAUGGAAUCUGGAAAAGUAGGCCUGUUGUAGAUGUGCUACAUGAGAUUGGCAAUCUCUCCUCUCCCUACCAGAAUCCCGUCUCCCCUGGAUUCUUGGGCCCAGCUGGAUGAGAGGGCAAUUUGGAAGAGAUAGGAUGGGUUUAAGUCAUCUUGAAACCUGAAAUACAUCUUUUAAUGCCAUUCAAACAAGAGACUACAAAAAGGUUUCCAAGUCAAGUCAUUAAGAAGACCUGACAGCUUCUACUUUUGUACUCUGGAGAAGCCAGACAUCAUACAAGAGCUCCAAACCUGAUACCAUCCUGAUAUGGCGGAAACCCAAGCUAUCCACGUGGAGAUGCCACAUGGAGUGAGACAGAGAUGUCCAGCCAGCUCCCAGAUGGUUUAGGCAUCUCAGCUGCAGCACCAGACAUGAGUGAAAAAGCCAAUUUGGGCUUUCCAACCCCAGAAGAUGCUACUUGGAUCACUGAGGAGCCCUGCUCUGCCAAAACCACAGACUUGCGCAGUUCCUCUGCUCACAUGGGAGCGCAUGAAAUCCAGUGGUACAUGGAAUCUCACUGAAGCCAGAAGAUAUUUAACAAUGGUAAAAAUUGGGACUCAGUCGCUAACCUUUUAGCCUACCACUUUUUGUUAUCUCUGUGUUCCAAUUCUUUGAUUCUUUUCUAGGUUGUUCUUCAUUCAGCAGGUGCCUGCUAAUUAUAUGCUCAUUUGAUGUAUUCAGGACUGACCUGUAAAACUGACCUUAUCUUGGUUCUUGGAUUGUCUUGUUUUGCUUUCACUGAAAAAGAAAAAAAAAGAUACAAAAAAAAAAAAAACCCAAACAAAUCAAAACAAAAAAACAAACACUUGUCUCCAUAGAUAGAAUCCAUUUAUCUUGUUUCUUCAAAGAUUUACUUUUCAUGGUUUUAAGAACUUUUGACAAAUGAGCAUUAGAGGAAAAGUGCUGACAAUUUCAACUUUAUUAGUUCAAAUGUUAUUUUCUCAAUUUCAAAACUUAAAAAGCUUAUCUGGAAAAGAAAUGAUGCAAGGUGGCUGUUACAGAAUAAUUACAGAUUUACUCUGAGAGGAAAGCAUAAUUGCCUAUGUACUACAUUAAGUGAAUAUACACUCCUUCAUAUAGUUAAAAUAAACCAUACACUUUCUGAAAAUUACAGUAUGAGAUUCACUUGUGUCUACAGGCUCACCAUGGUGUUGUUCUGCUGGACUGGGAAUGAUAGAAUAGGAAGGGGCAACAGGAUCUCUACAUUAUUGCUGCAGAAAGUUGCUCCAAGUUGAGUAAGCUGAAUGGAGAUUUGAAAGAUGGGACAACUUCUAAAUUGAUGGCAGAGCUAUAAAUAUCUCGGAAGCUGCCACCAGAAUUCCCAGCCUUGCAAGUAGCUACAAAAAAUGGGGAAAGUUCUUUUAAACAAAGAUUGCUACCCGGCUGCAAAUCUGGGAAAGACAAGGCAACAAAGUAUGAGCCUAUCAAAGAGUGACUAGAGCCAGACCUUGAGGAGUUAUCACCAUGUGUGCAGGACAGAAAGGGUAGUUGUUCUUGUCCUGGGCUUUUCAGCGGCCUGCCCAGAUCUUUUUGUGGCUCAGUUUACCAUGGUUUAAAGCAGUGGCUUUCAAACAUGUUGGGUGACUCUGCUGUAAGAUAUACAGUUUAUAUUACAGCCCAGCACUCCCCUACACAUAUAAAAUCAUAGAAGUAACUGAAAUACAAGUUUAAUAAACUGACACCUAUUUCCUAUUUUUAGAAUACGCCAUGCAGGCACUCUCUUUCACACUUUAUGAACUAUUCUAUUCUAUUCUAUUCUAUAUAGAUAGUAAAUAAAUCUAUAAGAAAAUUAUCCACAAAUUACAGUUAAAAUUGAAGGUCUGUAUUUUAGAGAUCUAUAUUACAUGAAUAUAGAUAACAUAUAUCAUUUCUAUUUACAUGAAUGUUAAUCAUAACUUGCCAGUGGUCUGAGAUCACAGUUUGAAAACCAGUAAGAAGUUACGGUAAAUCCUUCCACAGUAGGGAAAGCUGUCAAGAGAGGGAGCUCCACUGCUUCUCACCUGCCCAAGGUGUGUCUGCUGCUUUGCCUGUUUUCUCAACACGGGUGUGCAUAGUUUGAACAGAGUUAAUCUACGCUUAUUACCCUGAGUGUUCUGACAUUUUCUCUUUGGUUUAUUUUGUAUUCUCAUCUUGAAUGAAAACUAGAACAACAGGGGCCAUGACUGCUUGGCUCAUGUAUCUCCUUUCACAGCUCCUCCCAGGAUCCAGCACAGUGCGUCCAUCCCACCGGACGGCUGAUAGAUGCUGCUGAGUGCUAACACAAUUAUGUGACAGUGCAGAAGCUAUAUCAUUUGAUUAGCUGCAUGGAAUUGUAUAUGCAGAUGUGUUUUUCCUAAGGGAAGACUUUUAGUCUGUAAAACUUGUUGAACUAAAGAUUCAAAUUUAAAAGUAUAGACUUUGUCCAUGACACUCUCCACCAUUCCAUCCUUCUCUUGUUUAUUUAUUCAUGCCUCAAAUAUGCACUGAGUGGCUACUAUUUGUCAGACAUUCUUUUAGGUGCUGGGUGUACACAGUUCAUGCCCUCAAAAAAUGUUAGUUGUGAGACAGGUAACAGGUGUUUCUCAAAAUUGUGGUUUAUUAAAAAUUGAUAGUUGAAUUGUCUAAUUUUGAUUUGGCUGGUGCAGAUUUCUUGUGUUUACUUUGUUUUCCUCAAGGUCAUUAAUGAUAUAAUCUAAAAUAAUACCUGAGUAAAAAAAAAAACUUACCUUACCAAAAAUGCACUUAACUCCCUGUUCAUGGCAACCUUUGGACCUCAAGCGUGUAGAAUUAGAUUAAUCAUAAUCCUGGGUUCAUGAAAACUUUCAUGUUGGUCUACUUGA